rnacentral:rRNA from 1 species
AAAUAUAAUGUGCAAAUGAUUUUAAUAUGAAUUUUAAUUUUAAAUAUAAGUUUAAUUAAUUAAAAUUAUAAUAAUUAUAAAGAAAUUAAUUUUAGUAUUUAUUAAAGAAAAAAUAAAAUUAUUUAUAGAUUUAGUAUAGUAAUAGAAAAAUGAAAUAAGUAUUUAAAUAUUUAAAAGUAAAUUUAAUUUAUUGUAUCUUGUGUAUCAGAGAUUAUUAAUUAUUAAUUAUAAAAUUUAAUUAUUUCGAAAUUUAAAGAGUUAAUUUAUUAAAUUAGUUAUUGUGAUAUAAAUAUUAAUAAUAAUAAAUUAGAAAUGAAAUGUUAAUCGAUUUAAAUGAUAUCUAAUUUUUAAAGAAAUAAAUUGAAUUUAGUUAUUAAUAAAAUUAUAAAUUAAUUAAUUAGUUUGUAGAAAUAUUAAUAAAAAUAUUAAAGGGGAUAAGCUUUUUAAUAAAAUUUUAAAUAUUAAUUAAAAUAAAAAAAAAUUUAUAGAGAUGAAAUUAUUUAAUAAAUAAAUUUUUUUAUAAAAAAUUUUUAUGGGAAUAUAUUUUAAAAUUUAAUUUAUUAAUAAAAUUUAUUUAAAAAUUUAUUAAAAUACAAAUAAUAAAGAUAUAAUGAUAAUAUUAGUAUAUAAUUAAUUUAUAUUAAUUUAUAUUUAAAUUAAGGAAAAAUUUAAUUUAAUAAUUCGGCAAAAAUAUAUUAUAUUCGCUUGUUUAACAAAAACAUGUCUUUUUGAUUUAUAAUUUAAAGUCUAAUCUGCCCCCUGAAAUUUAUUUUAAAGGGCUGCGGAAUAUUAACCGUACAAAGGUAGCAAAAUAAUUAGUCUCAUAAUUGGAGACUAGAAUGAACGAUUGGACGAAAUAUAUUCUGUUUUAAUUAAAAUAAAAUAAAAUUUAAUUUUUUAGUUAAAAAGCUAAAAUUUUUUUAAAAGACGAGAAGACCCCGUAGAUCUUAAUAAUUUAUUUAAUUUAUUUUAUUUUAGAAUUUUAAUUUUAUUAAAAAAAAUUAUUAUAUUGGGGUGAUAUAAAAAUUUAAAAAACUUUUUAAUUUAAUAAUUUUUAAUUAAAAUUUUAUGUAAAAUUGAUCUAUUAGUAAUAAUUAAAAGAAUAAGGUACCUUGGGGAUAACAGCGUAAUUUAUAUUUUAAGUUCAUAUUAAAAUUUAAGAUUGCGACCUCGAUGUUGGAUUAAAAUUUAUUUUAAAUGCAAAAGUUUAAAAAUUAAGUCUGUUCGACUUUUAAAAUUUUACAUGAUCUGAGUUCAGACCGGUGUAAGCCAGGUUGGUUUCUAUCUUUAAAUAAAUAAAAUUUUUUAGUACGAAAGGAUCAUUAAUUUAAAAAAUUUUUAAUAAUAAGAAUUUAAUUAAUUAAUAUUA